rnacentral:rRNA from 1 species
UACGAAGGGGGCUAGCGUUGUUCGGAAUCACUGGGCGUAAAGCGCACGUCGGCGGCUUCUUAAGUCAGGGGUGAAAUCCUGGAGCUCAACUCCAGAACUGCCUUUGAUACUGAGGAGCUUGAGUCCGGGAGAGGUGAGUGGAACUGCGAGUGUAGAGGUGAAAUUCGUAGAUAUUCGCAAGAACACCAGUGGCGAAGGCGGCUCACUGGCCCGGUACUGACGCUGAGGUGCGAAAGCGUGGGGAGCAAACAGG